AAAUUAAGCGUCAGGCCUGGGUGCGGAGUUGCGGACCCAGCUGCUUUUCCUUUUCGGUUCGGUGGCGUCGCUCGCUGGCUGGCGCUGCUGAGAGUGCCGCCCCCUUCGGCCCUCCGAAGCCCCCUUCCCUCUCCCUUCUCCCUCCUCCGUCUUCCCUCCCCUUCGCACGGAGGUCCUGUCUUCCGCGCGCGGCCUCGAAUCGGCUUCUCCGCCCCGCCCCAUCCAUGACUAUGAUGACUCCUCCCCCCACUCGAGACCAGCAGGAGGACGACGAGAUGCUGGUCCCACACCAGGAGAUUGCUGACGGAGCGCAGCCCAUGGAAGUGGUGGCUCAGACCGAAGCUGUUAGUACUGCCGAGAACCAGCAGGCGGAGGAAAUUCCGUCGACCAGUUUCACGUGGACGAUCGAGAAUUUCUCCCGGUUGAACGUGAAGAAGCAUUACUCUGACAUCUUCAUCGACGGAGGCUACAAAUGGCGGGUCCUUAUUUUCCCCAAGGGGAACAACGUAGAUCACCUGUCCAUGUACCUUGAUGUUGCCGAUUCAGCUACACUGCCUUAUGGAUGGAGCAGAUGCGCCCAGUUCAGCCUGGCUGUGAUUAAUCAAAUCCAGAACAGGCUUACAAUAAGAAAAGAUACUCAGCACCAGUUUAAUGCACGGGAAAGUGAUUGGGGUUUCACAUCUUUUAUGCCUCUAAGCGAUCUUUAUGAUCCGAGUAGAGGAUAUCUUCUGAAUGAUACUAUUGUGGUCGAAGCUGAGGUUGCCGUCCGUAGAGUGAUUGAUUACUGGACAUAUGACUCGAGGAAGGAGACGGGUUAUGUUGGUCUCAAGAAUCAAGGUGCUACUUGUUACAUGAACUCUCUUCUCCAGACUUUGUACCAUAUUCCUUACUUUAGGAAGGCUGUGUAUCAUAUGCCUACGACUGAGAACGAUAUACCGUCAGGGAGCAUUCCUCUGGCCUUGCAGAGCCUCUUUUAUAAACUUCAAUAUAGCGACACUAGUGUUUCUACGAAAGAGUUGACCAAAUCGUUUGGAUGGGAUACAUAUGAUUCUUUCAUGCAGCAUGAUGCACAAGAACUCAAUAGGGUUCUUUGUGAAAAAUUGGAAGAUAAGAUGAAGGGAACUGUCGUGGAGGGAACAAUUCAACAAUUAUUUGAAGGCCACAAUAUCAACUAUAUUGAGUGCAUUAAUGUGGACUACAAAUCUAGCAGAAAGGAGUCAUUUUAUGAUCUACAGCUUGAUGUCAAAGGCUGCCGGGAUGUUUAUGCUUCUUUUGAUAAAUAUGUUGAAGUUGAGCGCCUUGAAGGAGACAACAAAUAUCAUGCGGAGCAAUACGGGUUACAGGAUGCUAGGAAGGGUGUUCUCUUCAUUGAUUUUCCCCCUGUCUUGCAACUUCAACUGAAACGCUUUGAAUACGAUUUCAUGCGAGAUACCAUGGUCAAAAUAAAUGAUCGCUAUGAGUUUCCACUGCAACUUGACCUAGAUAGAGAUAAUGGCAAAUAUCUUUCUCCAGAUGCUGAUAGAACCGUUCGCAACGUUUAUACUUUGCACAGCGUUCUUGUUCAUAGUGGUGGAGUGCAUGGUGGACAUUACUAUGCUUUUAUCCGACCAACUCUUUCUGAUCAAUGGUUUAAAUUUGACGAUGAGAGGGUAACAAAAGAAGAUACCAAAAGGGCACUUGAAGAGCAGUAUGGUGGUGAGGAAGAGUUACCGCAGGUUAACCCUGGCUUGAAUAACACACCAUUCAAGUUUACAAAGUAUUCAAAUGCAUACAUGCUUGUUUAUAUACGUGAGUGUGACAAGGACAAAAUAAUCUGUAAUGUGGAUGAGAAGGACAUUGCUGAGCACCUAAGGGUAAGACUGAAAAAGGAACAAGAAGAGAAAGAGCAAAAGAAAAAAGAAAAAGCUGAGGCUCACCUUUAUACCAUCAUAAAGGUUGCCCGGGAUGAGGAUUUGGUGGAGCAGAUUGGAAGAGUUAUAUUUUUUGACCUGGUAGAUCAUGAUAAAGUUCGUAGCUUUCGUAUACAGAAACAGAUACCUUUUAAUACUUUCAAGGAGGAAGUAGCCAAAGAGUUUGGCAUCCCUGUGCAAUUUCAGCGUUUCUGGUUGUGGGCUAAGCGGCAAAAUCAGACAUAUCGUCCCAACAGGCCAUUGAGUCCUCAGGAAGAGGCACAGUCUGUUGGACAACUAAGGGAGGUGUCAAAUAAGCCAAACAAUGCAGAGCUUAAGCUGUUCUUGGAAGUGGAAUUUGGAUUGGACUUACGACCUCUUCUACCACCUGAUAAAACCAAGGAAGAUAUACUGCUGUUUUUCAAGCUUUAUGAACCUGAGAAGCAAGAGCUUCGGUAUGUGGGGAGACUCUUUGUGAAGGCAUUGGGGAAGCCAACAGAAAUUCUGACAAAAUUGAAUAAAAUGGCUGGUUUUUCACCCAGUGAAGAAAUAGAACUCUACGAGGAAAUUAAGUUCGAGCCAAGUGUUAUGUGUGAACACAUCGAUAAGAGACUUACUUUUCGUUCUAGCCAGCUUGAAGAUGGUGAUAUUAUUUGUUAUCAAAGAUCUCCCUUACUAGAAAGUGCUGAUCGAUUUUGGUAUCCUGAUGUGCCAUCUUUUUUGGAGUAUGUUCACAAUCGACAGGUUGUGCAUUUCAGAUCACUAGAGAAGCCAAAGGAGGAUGAUUUUUGUUUGGAACUGUCAAAGUUACAUACUUACGAUGAUGUCGUAGAAAGAGUUGCUCAUCAACUUGGUGUGGAUGAUCCAUCAAAAAUUCGACUUACAUCUCAUAACUGCUACUCUCAGCAACCUAAACCUCAACCCAUCAAGUACAGGGGUGUAGAACAUUUGUCAGACAUGCUGAUCCAUUAUAACCAGACUUCUGAUAUAUUGUACUAUGAAGCACUGGACAUUCCUCUGCCAGAAUUGCAAGGUCUGAAAACACUGAAAGUUGCAUUUCAUCAUGCUACAAAGGAUGAGGUGGUAAUUCAUAGUAUCAGACUUCCCAAAAAUAGUACAGUUGGGGAUGUGAUUAAUGAACUGAAAUCAAAGGUUGAGCUUUCUCAUCCUAAAGCUGAGCUCCGGUUGCUUGAGGUCUUUUAUCAUAAAAUAUACAAGAUUUUUCCACCAAGUGAAAAAAUUGAGAAUAUAAAUGAUCAGUAUUGGACUUUGCGCGCAGAGGAGAUUCCGGAAGAAGAGAAAAGCCUUGGGCCUCAUGAUCGCUUAAUUCAUGUGUACCAUUUCAUGAAAGAUCCUAAUCAGAACCAAAUGCUUCAGAACUUUGGGGAACCUUUCCUUUUUGUUAUUCAUGAAAGUGAGACUUUAGCAGAGGUAAAGGUGCGGAUCCAGAAAAAACUCCAUGUCCCGGAUGAAGACUUCUCCAAGUGGAAAUUUGCUUUUAUAUCAAUGAACCGCCCUGAUUACCUUGAGGAUUCAGAUGUUGUGUCUACUCGCUUUCAGAAAAGAGAUGUCUAUGGUGCUUGGGAGCAGUACCUUGGAUUAGAACACUCGGAUGCCACUCCAAAAAGGGCUUACUCUGCAAAUCAGAACCGUCACGCGUUUGAGAAGCCAGUGAAAAUCUACAACUAGAAGUGAGGCAUCCCUCCUAGUGGGGUUUUUCCGCACGAACUGCUGCCAUGGUGUCCUUAUUUGUGAUAUAGUGCAAAUCCAAUGGGCACGAGACAAGCAGAAGAUGGGGUGUGGCGCUGUGCAGACGGGGGGUGUGUUUUGAUCUCAUUCACUAUCACGGCUCUCAACCGGUUCUUGGGUUUCUUUCUUAUCUGCGACCUUUUGGACGAAAGAGCCCCUGAUGAAGAGUACUAAGUUUGAUUGCGCGCUGGAAGAGACCGUGGUUGCACUGGUAGGGGCGGCUUUGUUUACUUUUUUCUGGAGUCGUGGUGGGAUCGUGGCAGAAUGAUUGCAAGUGACGAUGGUAUUGCCAAUUUUGAUACCAGCGGAGUUAGAUGCUUGACGCUUGUUCUUAAAGCUGCACAAUAAAUAUCGUUGAUAAUUAGUAUAGUAGUCCUUAUUCACAAAAUCGGAGUGUUGCAAUGUGUGCGCCAUCAUCUCUGAUUUAUUUGGGCAGCUGAAGAAAAAUUAGCUAAGGCGCAGAAUAGCGUUUAGAGUGGAACCGUAUCACAGCAUUUGGGGCCGUGGAAACACAGAAAGAUGCUGCAAUUUUAGCGCCAGACAGACAGCAAGAGGGAUUUGCUCGCGCCAGCCUCAGAAAGCCCGACUCUUUGCUACCCUGUAGCAUGCCUAUUACAGCCUACAGCCCCCGACUCGCCCCUCGACGGACUGGCUUUUGAUUCUAGUUAACCUGUGGCCUCAUCUAUAUGGUAGCAUGAUUAUAAUGCUAACAAUUCAGCACUCAAAAGUUCAUUCAUUGUAGCAAACUACAAUAACUAAAAUGCAAUCACACUAGACAUGUUCUAAUGCAA